rnacentral:rRNA from 1 species
UGGGGAAUAUUGGACAAUGGGCGCAAGCCUGAUCCAGCCAUGCCGCGUGAGUGAUGAAGGCCCUAGGGUUGUAAAGCUCUUUCAACGGUGAAGAUAAUGACGGUAACCGUAGAAGAAGCCCCGGCUAACUUCGUGCCAGCAGCCGCGGUAAUACGAAGGGGGCUAGCGUUGUUCGGAAUUACUGGGCGUAAAGCGCACGUAGGCGGAUUGUUAAGUUAGGGGUGAAAUCCCAGGGCUCAACCCUGGAACUGCCUUUAAUACUGGCAAUCUCGAGUCCGAGAGAGGUGAGUGGAAUUCCGAGUGUAGAGGUGAAAUUCGUAGAUAUUCGGAGGAACACCAGUGGCGAAGGCGGCUCACUGGCUCGGUACUGACGCUGAGGUGCGAAAGCGUGGGGAGCAAACAGGAUUAGAUACCCGUGUAGUCCCUGAGCGGGCUGGCAAGGCGCAU